GGCCCAAAAUCAUCCAUUAUCUUUACUUUAGAUACAAAAUAAUACUUAUUGUUUUAACUGGUGCAAUAAUAGUCCUUUUUGUUUAAAAAAUGAGUGCAUUUUUAGUCAUCACCCUAACACUGUGAAUUUUUUUAACAACAGCCUCCUCACGUUCAUAUCAAGUAAACACGAGCACCAUUAGGCAAGGGAAAUCAAUGCAAAAACACAUCAAAUAAGCCUUGAGGCAUCGACGCUGCAUUAACAAUUCAGACUUCUCUGUAUCACUGCAUCAACAAUUGUUUCAAUCUAUUAAUUUCAUGGUCUGAUAAGACUCAUGAAGAUAAAAGAUAACGUCAACUUCUAUGUUAGGUGAUGCCAGAUUCUUCAUCAGGUUAGUAGAGGUUGGUUAGAAUUUUCAUCAGCAUCGAAGAUUUUGGCUAAGAGAAGCUUUAUACGCUGCAACUCAGGCUCUUAGACUACUAAACCUUCUGAUUUAACUUCUUUGAGAUGAUUAAAUGUCACAUUUGUGAAACGUUCCGCUUGAAGAGAUUCUGGGAUAUGAACAUCAUCAUAAAAGUAGGUUUUACUGAAGGAUUAAUCAAUGAUAUUUUACUUUCUUUUCAGUUGCUUGCUCUGUCGUUAACGUGUUAUUUUUGGGUCGCAACUAUCUUGCAGCGUGAAGCCACUGAAACUGCUCAAGUUACGAGUUAUCAACUCUGUCAAGCUGAUGUUGGUAAUUGCUUCCUUAUACUGCUUAUGGUUUGCAACCCAAAUAUACUUGGUUUGUCCUCGUCGAUCAGCUGUUGGUGAAGAGGCUGAUCUCGAAGUUCUUGUGUUUAUGGAAAUAUAUUUUUUCCUCCUCAUUGACUGUGCAUUCAGUCUAUGAACUCAUGAGAACCCCCAAAACUUAUGCCCUUAAUGACUAAAUAAAAAUCAUAGUGACUAGUGACACAGAAAAUCUUAAGGUUCAAAUUGAUUCAAACCCUUGUCAGCAACAUUUUACAGAUUAGGUUUUUUUUGAAGGGAAAAAAAUAGUAUGAUAGAAAGGUAAUUGACUGAUGUUAAAAAAAAUUAACAGUAUUAGGUGAUGAUUAAAAAUACACUACUUUUUAAUUAGUGCACCAAUUGAAAGAAUAUGUAUUAUUUUAUAUGUAAAUAAAGAUAAGGUAUGAUUUUGAGCCUUUACUCUAUUCUCUGGGUAAGAGAAAGUAUAAUCUAUAAACCCUUUGUUUUUUUAGUAUACAUGUUGAUAAUUAGUAGUAAAAAAAGAUGUGGAGUAACAUUCUUUUGUUUUUUUUUUGGGUUCAUUUUUUAUGAACAAAGAAGUUUCGAUAACUUUUAUUUGAAGUUUUGCUUUGGGUCUUUUGAUUCUAACAGAAGAAGACCCAAUUUGGUUAGAUGUAUUUUUUUAUUCUAACAGAAGCCCUAAUUUGGUUGGAUGGGUUUUUUUAUUCUAACAGAAGAUGCCCCAAUUUGGUUAGAUUGUUCACUUGGGAUUUCUUUUCACUUUUGAAUUUAACGGAAGAGAAAAGACCCAAUUCACUUUUUUUAAUUUCUACAUAGAUUAGGUUGUUUCAAAAGAUCUAGAUUUGUAAAGAAGGGAUAGUUUGUAUAUUCUCUCAUUCUUCACUUCGUCACUUUUUGUUCUAAUACGCUAAGUCAAAGAUCUAUUUGCUUUUAAAAUUGAUAAGAGAACUUGCCAUGAAUUUUUGGAGAAAACAGGCAUUUCUUAAUUUACCUUUUUUAUAAGGGCGAAGUACAUAGUUGUUAUGUAAUUACAUAUAAAUUCAUGACUUAUUGUGGUUUUGAUCUGAGUUGUAAAUAAUUAGUUAAUUUCUUUAUGUUUUCAUGUUUUAGUAACUUGAUAAAUCAGAAAAAAAAUAUCUAUUAGCUGUUGUAAUGUUGACUUCACUCUUCUUCUGAUUGUUCUUUAUUGAUGAAUUCUCUAUGAAAAUGUUGCUUUGUUGUCUGUUCAUAUUAGUUGUAGCGAUGGUCAAAUAGUAGUGAAAGAGAUUAAGAAAAAAGGUGACAAGUUCAUCGAAGAAGAUGACACAUGGUCAGCAGCAUAUUUUCUGAAAACAUCCGAGAAAGGAAAAAUAGAUUACCUCCUGAAAAAUGUCCCAAACAUUUUUCCGAACAUUGUAUUUGGAAAUUUCUGGAAAUGUCCAACUGAAAAUCUUUAUUAUAUGUUCGAACUGGGUCUCAAUUAGAACAUGUCAUAGUUCUAGUGUUGGAAUGAAUCUGUUUUGAGUUAAUUUAGACACAUCCAUCGUAGUUUUAUACAUGUACGCGACAUUGCCAGGUGUUAAAAUUGAAGCAAGUCUUAAAUCUGCAGACUUUUGAUUAGGUCUAUUGGUCUCUCAGACAGUGUCUAACAUGAGCAGUACCAUUCACAUCUACGAUCAUAUUGCAAUUUGUCAAUUCUCUUGGAUUUGCUUGACGAUUGCUGAUAUUUUAUUUUGGAUAGUUUUAUGGUUCUGUCGUAUUGUUUGUUUGUUUCUUACAUUAAUUUGUAUGAAGAUUUAGCAGAUCAAUAAUUCAAGCUACACCGAGAUGGCUCUUCAGGGUAUUGUUGGUGCUGUAGAAGCGACAUGGACCAACAAGCAACAAGUAAUUGAGACUGAGCACUUAAUGAAAGCUCCUUUGGAGUAGAAAGAUGGGUUGGCUCAAAGGAUAUUCACUAAGGCUGGGUAACACAUCAGUUUUGCAAGAAACAAGUAAUUUUAUAUCUCAGCAGCCGAAGGUUGUGUGGCCCAAUAUUGGGGUCACAUCUUAGUUCCCUCCUUUACAAUACAAAGAAGCAUAAGAAGGAAAUAGGAGAUUUCAUUGUGUCUGUGGAGAAUAUGUUGUUAGCUUUUCUUUCAGAUAAAAGAUUUGGUCAAAAGUUAUUUAGGAAUCUCCAGCUUACGGAGAAGGCUUUGAAGGAUGCUGUCACUGCUGUUCAUGGAAGUCAGUAACUGAUUCGAGUAUGUAUCUCUCUUUAUGUAUCUUCAAGUUUUGUAGCCAUGUCUCUUCUGAAAAAUAGCUAGGGUGUUCAAGUUGAUGUUGACAGAUGAGCUAAGCUGCCUUUGGCUAUGGCUAGAUUAUGUUUCGCUUCAUCUCCUGCUUAUUGUCCUAAUCUAUUUAUGAUGUCCGAACCAGUGCCAAUUUAGUAAUUAUUCACUGCACACGUACUAUGAAGUCUAAGAUAGGUGGCAAUUAGGUCCAGGGAUAUGAAUUCUUGUAGCAUUUCAGCAGCAUGCUGAUUGCCAGUGUUUGAAAUGCUAAUGUGGUUUAUUUUACAAUGUUUUAGUUCAUUUGUGUUUUUUCGUGUAAUCCUAGAGAAAUUGCUGCAGAAUUUGUAUAUGCAUACUUAUUGUGAAUUGGGCUUAUUAUGGUAAUUUGGUUUUAGAAAAUGGAUGCAUCGGUAGGAAUCCAUAACAAAUGGAUAUUAUAUUUGAGUAUUUGAUGCUUGGUGUUGGAAUUAAAUUUUUUUCAGUGCAUUAUUCGAUUCGAUGUACUUUCAAAUAGAAAGCAAAAGGAUUGAACCUCUCAAAUCUCUGGGAGAGCAAGAGUGUUCUGCAAUUUUCAGUCAAUAAAUUUUGUUUUUGGUUUGUUUAAAGCUGCAACAACAAUUUAUAGAGUAGACUGGACGUCCAAAACUCCACAUGGCUAAUCCAAAUCCUCCUGUAAGUUUUAAGCUUUAUUGUAAAGCUUGUGUAUAUAUGAAAGCUCUGUUUAGCAUCAGUGUUGAUCAGUAUGGGAGCCGAUUCAUUCAACAAAAACUUGAAACUGCUACCACUGAGGAGAAAAACAUGGUUUUCGAGGAAGUUUUUCCCCAAGCUCUUACUUUGAUUACUGAUGUCUUCGGGAAUUAUGUUAUCCAGAAGGUAUGUCUAACUUUGGUUGUUCUAUACAGUAUAUAUUGAUGUUGAGUUGCAUCAUCUUUAAGUCCGUCUUUUUCUCUUUAAAAUAGAUUAUCAUUUACCUAUUUCUCGUGCAGUUUUUUGAACAUGAAAUGGCAUCUCAGAGGAGAGAAAUGGCUAGCGUACUCUUUGGGCAUGUACUAACGCUGAGCCUUCAAAUGUAUAGUUGUCAAUUGAUACAAAAGAUAUACCGAAGUGAAUCCAGAAAUGCUCAUAUGUGCUCAAGUGUUAUCUGCUAGCAUUUAUCUUUUGUUUUGGUUCUUAUUCUAAUACACUGAAUGUAGCACCAACCAGUGGGCUCUCUGGGCUUAUUAUCAGCUUUUCAAUAACUUUUGAGUUAUAUCCAGAUAAAAGUUGUGAUAUGGUUCGCUCUACAGGAAAUAAAAGUUGUUGACAUGUACCAGAAGAUUAAAAUGGUUGAGUAGCUUGAUGGUCAUGUAAUAUGUUGUGUACGAGAUCAGAAUGGGAAUCAUGUCAUUCAGAAAUGUAUUGAAUGUGUACCAGAAGAUCACAUUCAAUUUAUCGUCUCAACACUUUUUGGACAAGUUAUUACUCUCUCUACCCAUUCAUAUGGCUGUCGAGUAAUACCGGUAAUUGAGUAAUGUGUCAUAUUCUUAUCCAUUUGUCGUAGUAAUUUUGUUUGAUAUUUACUAAUAUUCCUUGAUCAUUCGGAGAGUAUUGGAACACUGUAGCAAUCCAGAAACUCAAAGCAAAGUGAUGGAAGAAAUCCUGGAAUCUGUAAGCAUGUUGGCAUAAGAUCAAUAUGGUAAUUAUGUUGUUCAGGUAUGAAAUACUCGCUGCUAAGCAUGUUUUUAAACAAGGUAAAAUUUUGUCAACAGAGCUGCCGCUUCCUUCAGCAGACGUAAGAAAAUUUUGUCAUAGACAUAUAUUAAAUAUUUAAUAUUCCACAUUUUAUUUCAUUGAUUGAUGGUUGUCCUGCUUUUUUAUUAUUUAUAAGAAAAUACUUUAUCUCAUCGCUUUAGAGCCAAUAAUGAGGUCUCUACUCUUAAGUGCAAUUCCACAAGUGGAAUUUGGAGAGGGUAACAUGUACGUAGACGUUACCUCUACCUCGAAAAGGUAUAGAAGCUAUUUUCAAAAGGUUUCUAAUUUCUAUUUUUGACUAUAUUGUAGAAUGAUUGGGUGAUCUGCAGAGUAUUUCAUAAAAUAAUUGGUGGAAAGAAAAUACACAUUUCAGGGCUGAUGAGAGGGAAUUUUGAUGAAAAUGAAGACUUAAUUCUUUUUGCCACCAUUGACAGAUUAUGGAGCUGAAACAACAGCUGAUGUUCCAAGAUCUUUGGAAAGUUUACUAUCAAUAGACGAGUUGUAUGAUGAACUUGAAUCUCUUCUUGAAAGUCUAAAACCCCCAUUUUACUUUCUUUGAUUUUGCUUAUUGGAUCAUUUAUAUAGCAUUAGAAAUUGGAGGUAUCAAGAGACUCUUACAAAAGUUGUUUGUCCUGCUACAUUGCUUUUAUUUUACAUCUUCAGUUCUUCUA